AGCGUAUAUUAAAGUUGUUGCAGUUAAAAAGCUCGUAGUUGAAUUUCGGGNNNAGUAGGUUGGUCAUGCCUCUGGUAUGUACUGGUCUCACUGAUUCCUCCUUCCUGAUGAGCCGUAAUGCCAUUAAUUUGGUGUUGCGGGGAAUUUGGACUGUUACUUUGAAAAAAUUAGAGUGUUUAAAGCAAGCUAACGCUUGAAUACAUUAGCAUGGAAUAAUGAAAUAGGACGUUCGAUCCUAUUUUGUUGGUUUCUAGGAUUGACGUAAUGAUUAAUAGGGAUAGUUGGGGGCAUUAGUAUUCAAUUGUCAGAGGUGAAAUUCUUGGAUUUACUGAAGACUAACUACUGCGAAAGCAUUUGCCAAGGAUGUUUUCAUUAAUCAAGAACGAAAGUUAGGGGAUCGAAGACGAUCAGAUACCGUCGUAGUCUUAACCAUAAACUAUGCCGACUAGGGAUCGGAUGAUGUUAAUUUUUUAAUGACUCAUUC
rnacentral:rRNA from 1 species